rnacentral:rRNA from 1 species
UACGUAGGGGGCAAGCGUUGUUCGGAUUUACUGGGCGUAAAGGGCGCGUAGGCGGUCAGCACAAGUCAGUUGUGAAAUCUCCGGGCUUAACUCGGAAAGGUCAACUGAUACUGUGCGACUAGAGUGCAGAAGGGGCAACUGGAAUUCUCGGUGUAGCGGUGAAAUGCGUAGAUAUCUGGAGGAACACCGGUGGCGAAGGCGGCAUCCUGGACCGAUACUGACCGCUGAGGAGCGAAAGCCAGGGGAGCAAAACGGGG